AACGUAGGAGGCAAGCGUUAUCCGGAGUUACUGGGCGUAAAGCGCAUGUAGGCGGUUGGGUAAGUGGCGUGUGAAAGCUCCCGGCUAAACUGGGAGAGGACAGGUCAGACUGCCGAACUCGAGUCCGAUAGAGGGGCGUAGAAUUCCGGGUGUAGCGGUGAAAUGUGUAGAGAUCCGGAGGAAUACCAGUGGCGCAAGCGGCGCCCUGGGUCGGUACUGACGCUGAGAUGCGAAAGCGUGGGGAGCGAACGGG
rnacentral:rRNA from 1 species